rnacentral:rRNA from 1 species
CGGGACACGUGGUAUCCUGUCUGAAUAUGGGGGGACCAUCCUCCAAGGCUAAAUACUCCUGACUGACCGAUAGUGAACCAGUACCGUGAGGGAAAGGCGAAAAGAACCCCGGCGAGGGGAGUGAAAAAGAACCUGAAACCGUGUACGUACAAGCAGUGGGAGCACGCUUAGGCGUGUGACUGCGUACCUUUUGUAUAAUGGGUCAGCGACUUAUAUUCUGUAGCAAGGUUAACCGAAUAGGGGAGCCGAAGGGAAACCGAGUCUUAACUGGGCGUUAAGUUGCAGGGUAUAGACCCGAAACCCGGUGAUCUAGCCAUGGGCAGGUUGAAGGUUGGGUAACACUAACUGGAGGACCGAACCGACUAAUGUUGAAAAAUUAGCGGAUGACUUGUGGCUGGGGGUGAAAGGCCAAUCAAACCGGGAGAUAGCUGGUUCUCCCCGAAAGCUAUUUAGGUAGCGCCUCGUGAAUUCAUCUCCGGGGGUAGAGCACUGUUUCGGCAAGGGGGUCAUCCCGACUUACCAACCCGAUGCAAACUGCGAAUACCGGAGAAUGUUAUCACGGGAGACACACGGCGGGUGCUAACGUCCGUCGUGAAGAGGGAAACAACCCAGACCGCCAGCUAAGGUCCCAAAGUCAUGGUUAAGUGGGAAACGAUGUGGGAAGGCCCAGACAGCCAGGAUGUUGGCUUAGAAGCAGCCAUCAUUUAAAGAAAGCGUAAUAGCUCACUGGUCGAGUCGGCCUGCGCGGAAGAUGUAACGGGGCUAAACCAUGCACCGAAGCUGCGGCAGCGACGCUGAUGCGUUGUUGGGUAGGGGAGCGUUCUGUAAGCCUGUGAAGGUGUGCUGUGAGGCAUGCUGGAGGUAUCAGAAGUGCGAAUGCUGACAUAAGUAACGAUAAAGCGGGUGAAAAGCCCGCUCGCCGGAAGACCAAGGGUUCCUGUCCAACGUUAAUCGGGGCAGGGUGAGUCGACCCCUAAGGCGAGGCCGAAAGGCGUAGUCGAUGGGAAACAGGUUAAUAUUCCUGUACUUGGUGUUACUGCGAAGGGGGGACGGAGAAGGCUAUGUUGGCCGGGCGACGGUUGUCCCGGUUUAAGCGUGUAGGCUGGUUUUCCAGGCAAAUCCGGAAAAUCAAGGCUGAGGCGUGAUGACGAGGCACUACGGUGCUGAAGCAACAAAUGCCCUGCUUCCAGGAAAAGCCUCUAAGCAUCAGGUAACAUCAAAUCGUACCCCAAACCGACACAGGUGGUCAGGUAGAGAAUACCAAGGCGCUUGAGAGAACUCGGGUGAAGGAACUAGGCAAAAUGGUGCCGUAACUUCGGGAGAAGGCACGCUGAUAUGUAGGUGAAGUCCCUCGCGGAUGGAGCUGAAAUCAGUCGAAGAUACCAGCUGGCUGCAACUGUUUAUUAAAAACACAGCACUGUGCAAACACGAAAGUGGACGUAUACGGUGUGACGCCUGCCCGGUGCCGGAAGGUUAAUUGAUGGGGUCAGCGCAAGCGAAGCUCUUGAUCGAAGCCCCGGUAAACGGCGGCCGUAACUAUAACGGUCCUAAGGUAGCGAAAUUCCUUGUCGGGUAAGUUCCGACCUGCACGAAUGGCGUAAUGAUGGCCAGGCUGUCUCCACCCGAGACUCAGUGAAAUUGAACUCGCUGUGAAGAUGCAGUGUACCCGCGGCAAGACGGAAAGACCCCGUGAACCUUUACUAUAGCUUGACACUGAACAUUGAGCCUUGAUGUGUAGGAUAGGUGGGAGGCUUUGAAGUGUGGACGCCAGUCUGCAUGGAGCCGGCCUUGAAAUACCACCCUUUA